rnacentral:rRNA from 1 species
AUAGAUACCCCGGUAGUCCACGCCGUAAACGUUGGAUACUAGGUGUGGCGGUUAUACCAAUGACUGCCGUGCCGAAGCUAACGCAUUAAGUAUCCCGCCUGGGGAGUACGGCCGCAAGGCUAAAACUCAAAGGAAUUGACGGGUCCCCGCACAAGCGGCGGAGCAUGCGGCUUAAUUCGAUGCAACCCGAAGAACCUUACCUGGGUUUGACAUCACGGGAAAAGCUGUAGAAAUACAGUGUCCAUUAGGGCCCGUGACAGGUGGUGCAUGGCUGUCGUCAGCUCGUGUCGUGAGAUGUUGGGUUAAGUCCCGCAACGAGCGCAACCCUUGUCCUAUGUUGCUAGCGGUUCGGCCGGGGACUCAUAGGAGACUGCCGGGGAUAACUCGGAGGAAGGUGAGGACGACGUCAAGUCAUCAUGCCCCUUAUAUCCAGGGCUGCACGCAUGCUACAAUGGCCGGUACAACGGGCAGCGACCCCGCGAGGGUGAGCGAAUCCUAAAAGCCGGUCCUAGUUCGGAUUGAAGUCUGCAACUCGACUUC